AUUGAACGCUGGCGGCAGGCCUAACACAUGCAAGUCGAACGGUAACAGGAAGAUGCUUGCUUCUUUGCUGACGAGUGGCGGACGGGUGAGUAAUGUCUGGGAAACUGCCUGAUGGAGGGGGUUAACUACUGGAAACGGUAGCUAAGACCGCAUAACGUCGCAAGACCAAAGAGGGGGACCUUCUGGCCUCUUGCCAUCGGAUGUGCCCAGAUGGGAUUAGCUAGUAGGUGGGGUAACGGCUCACCUAGGCGACGAUCCCUAGCUGGUCUGAGAGGAUGACCAGCCACACUGGAACUGAGACACGGUCCAGACUCCUACGGGAGGCAGCAGUGGGGAAUAUUGCACAAUGGGCGCAAGCCUGAUGCAGCCAUGCCGCGUGGAUGAAGAAGGCCUUCGGGUUGUAAAGUACUUUCAGCGGGGAGGAAGGGAGUAAAGUUAAUACCUGUGCUGAUUGACGUUACCCGCAGAAGAAGCACCGGCUAACUCCGUG
rnacentral:rRNA from 1 species